GUGGCGCAUCGCUACUUCGGAUUAAAAGGGAAUCAGGUGAAAGUCCUGGACAGUCCCGCUGCUGUGAAGCUCGUUAAAGCUCCUUGGCAUUUGCUAAUUGCCACUGACUUGUCAGCGAUGAGAGGUCGGGAAGGCGUCAGGGAGUGAGUCAGUCAGAAGACCUGCCAUUCAUUAA
rnacentral:ncRNA from 1 species